UCCUCUCUAGUCUUCCACUUACCAAAAUGACAUAGAGGACACAGACACCUAAUUGUAUCUUCCACAGCCGCAUUCUUGAAUGCAAAAUCAAGAAAUUUAUUCAAACCUUGUUUGUAUUCGUCGGAGUUUUGUGGCUGUCUAAUCCACGAUUUAUCCAUAGAAAAGUAAUAAGCAAAUUAACAUAAAUAGCUUAGAGUAUACCUCAAUAAGAAGUACCCAAACCACCUUCAGAUUUUUUUAUACUUGCAAUGUACUUCAACAACUAAGUGAUCUUUCAAAUCAAAUUAAUUCCAGAAACUAACAGACAAAAAGAAUUCAUGAGGAAUCCCACAAAUCAACUUCAUGUAUAUAUGUUUGUUCGUAAUUUGAUUUGUCGAGGUAUUAGAGUCUUAAGUAUAGCCAGCAAGAAGCUAAUGCAGGGACAUCUCAACCAUUGGGCUCAACUGAAACAUCAAAUCAGGGGCGUAGGGAUGAUUCUGAUGACUUCAAUAAUUUUCACAAAGAUGGAAGUCAAACACUGUAUAAAGGGAGCAAGUACACAAAGCUAGAGUUUUUAAUAAAACUGUAUCAUAUAAAGGUCUAUUGUUGAUUAAGUGACAAGGCAAUGACUAUGAUACUAGAUUUGUUGAGAGAUAUUUUUGAAGAUGCAAAGAUACCUCCUUCUUUUUACGAGGUCAAAAAAAUAAUUACCACACUUGGACUUGACUACACUAUGAUACUAGCAUGUCCGAAUAACUGUAUGCUAUUCUGGGAAGGUGAUUUAGAAUUUGAAGCAUGUAAGCAUUCUGGCACGUCUAAAUGGAAUUCUAAUAAAAAAAUAAGCAACCUGCAAAAGCUCUGUGUUACUUUCCAUUGAAAUCAAGGUUGAAAAGGUUAUUUAUGUGUUGCAAGACUGCAGAACAUAUGAGAUGGCAUGCUCUAGGCAGUAACCCAGAUGGGUUGAUGAGCCAUCCAAGGGAUGGUGAGGCAUGGAAGACAUUUGAUAGGACUAACUCUGGAUUUACUUUUGAUCCUCAAAAUGUUCAUUUAGGCCUUGUUACCGAUGGUUUUAAUCCUUUUGGAACAAUGAGUUCUACCUAUAGUAUUUGGACUGUCUUCUUGAUUCCAUAUAAUCUUCCUCCAUGGAUGUACAUGAAGCACACUUCUUUCAUCUUAUCGAUGAUUAUUCCAGGCAAGCAGAUGCCGGGAAACAAUUUAGAUGUGUACUUACAACCACUAGUGAAGGAAUUGCGAGAGUUAUGGUAUGAUGAGCCCUCUCUAGCAAGACAUUGAAUCUUUCGGAGCUUGAUAUUCUCCAGGAGAGCAUUAUAAGAACACUUUGCCACCUGGAGAUACUAUUUCCUCCAUCAUUCUUUACAGUGAUGGUUCAUUUAUCUGUUCAUCUAAUAGAGGAAGCAAAACUUGAAGGUCCAGUGCAUUACCGAAACAUGUAUCCUGUAGAGAGGGAAUUGGGUCAUUUUAAGUCCUUUGUACGAAAUAAAGCACAACCAGAGGCUUCUAUAGCUGAGGGUUAUUUAGCUGAAGAGUCUCUUACCUUUUGUUCGCGGUAUAUUGAGGUUAUUGAGACAAGAUUCAACCAACCUAGGUGUGUCCGUGAUGACACAAAUGACAUUGAACCUUCUGUAAUGUCUAAUCUCUUCCCUCAAUAAGGUAAACCUGCGUCAGCUACGAAAAAUAACGAUUUGACUCCUAUGUCGAAACUACAAGCUCAUCGAUAUGUGCUUCUAAAUUGUGCAAUAGUCACGCCAUUUGUGGAGUGAGUAACUCUUAUCUAUAUGUUCUGUGUCAUUGCAAUGUUUUAAGUAGGUUAGUUAUGCUAUUUAAUAUUAAAUUAAAAAUUUCAUAUAGCGAAUUUAGACAACACAUAAGGAGUUCAACAGGAAGAAGACCUUCACCUACAGAGAUAGAGAAGAGUUAAUAAAGACUUUGUCGAUUGGUUCCACAAGCGGGUAAGUAAGUAAUAAUUAGUUGUUAUUUAUUUGAUUGGAAUGAGCAAAUCUGACUAAGUCAAUUUUAUUUUAAUUUAAAUUAUGAAUUCAGACACAAUAGAUACAAUGUCUAUUGAUCUAAAGUUUUUAGCACGAGGUCCAUGUAAAAUGCUAGAAGGUUUACUGCAUAUAACAUCAAUGGGUCAAAAUUUCAAACUUUGGCUCGAGAAGAAGGAUUGAAACGCAGAAUAGUGGAGUUUUCUUAACCUCCAAAACAUCAUGUGUUGCAAGUAGUGUUGAUGGAAAUUUAAGGCCAGCAGAAUUAUCAUAUUAUGGGAAGUUAGAAGAUAUUAUUGAGAUAAAUUAUAAUGGAUAUUUUAAGGUUGUUCUUUUCAAAUGUAAAUGCGUUGAUACUGCUCGAGAUAGAGGGUAUCAAAAAGAUCGUUGGAACCUUAUUGUGUUAAUUUUGAUAAAUUGAUUCAUACUGGUGAACGUGAAGAACACUAGCCUUGCAUUGAAGCAUCUCAAGCACAAAUGGCGUAUUAUGUGGAUGAUAUUGUCGAUAAAGGGUGGAGUGUUGCUAUGCAUUUAAAGCCAAGAGAUUUGUACAAUAUGGGAGAGGUAUUGGAAGAAGAAAUAUAUGAGAAUGAACCAUACCAAGCGCAAGAACUCGAACAGUUUUUUGUUGAUGGUGAUGGUUAUGCACAGCUAGCUACAGAUCACAUAAUUGAUGACAUAGUAGAGUCAAAUGUUACUUCUAAUCAAGAAGCAGAUGAAAUGUCUGACUGAUUUUUGCGACUUAUGUUGAUACUUGUUGGCUGUGGUCCUGCUGGUCUUACUCGUGCCGCUGAGUCGGCUAAACUAGGAUUGAACGUGGGACUCGUUAGGCCUAAUCUUACUUUCACAAAUAACUAUGGCAUCUGGGAGGAAGAGUUCAAAGGUCGUUAUCUUUAUCUGGCUUUUAUUGAAUGUUUUAUUACUAAGAGCUUUCAUGAAAUAAUUAGCUAAGAAGCACAUCUUUCGUACAAUGUUUAUACUUUUUUUUUUCAAAUCUUGGGCUUCAAGCCUGCAUUGAACAUUUUUGGAAGGAUACCAUUGUAUAUCUUGAUGAUGUUGAUCCUACUUUUAUCUGCCAUGCUUAUGGAAGAGUUAGUCGCCAGAGUUACUCAAAAGGUUAAAUUCUCUAAACUUGUUCGUUAUGUCAUACGAAUUGUUUUAUUCACCAUAGUAUAUUCCGUCAUUUUAUUUUCCUUAAAGGUGUAAUUCACAUUAAUCUUCCUAGGUGUGUGGAGGCAGGUGUUUUAUAUCUUAACUCGAAAGUGGAUAGGAUUGUUGAGGGCACAAGUGGCCAGAGUCUUGUAGAAUGCGAGGGUGACUUUGUGAUUCCGUGCAGGUUUGUAACUGUUGCGUCUGGAGCAGCCUCGAAGAAAUUCUUGCAGUAUGAGUUGGGAGGUCACAAAGUUUCUGUUUAAAUAGCUUACGGAGUGGAAUUUGAGCUAAUAUGGAGUUUUUGAGACCUCCAUCGAUGGAGGGUUUGGAUGCUUUAUUGUCCAAAACUAAUGGAUCGUUGAUGAAAAACAUGACUGGAACAAAUGGAACUAUACAAGUGCAGCCACAACCAUCGAUUAACUUGUUUUCCAGGAAAUCUAGUGUUUCUGUUUCAAAAGGCAGCUGUUUACAAGUGCAAUAUAGCUGGGAAACCUGCUGCGAUCACUCGUGUUGUGGACAGUAUGACUGAUUACUUAAAACCCACUCGUGUCGAGGCAAUAGAUAUUGCCAACUCUGUAUUGGAUGGUAGUGAUACAAUUCUUCUAGGUGCAGAGACCCCAAGAGGGCUAUAUCCUGUUGAGACUAUUUCCACUGUUGGUAAAAUUUGUGCAGAGGCAGAAAAGGUUUAUAAUGAAGAUGUCUAUUUUAAGAGGGAUGUUAAGUAUGUGGGAGAACCAAUGACUCACUAGGAAUCUAUUGCUUUCUCUGCGGUACGUGCUGCUAUCAAAGUUAAGGCAUAUGUUAUUUAUUAUCUGCUUCACUUCUUUGUGGAGAGCUGCAAGAUUGAUAGCUAAGUAUAGGCCAACGAUGCCAGUAUUGUUUGUUGUCAUUCCUCAACUCAAAACGAACCAGCUCCGCUGGACAUUCAGUGGUGCAUUUCAGGCUAGGCAGUCUCUUCUUGUUAGAGGGAUUUUCCCCAUCCUUGCAGAUCCAAGACAUCCGUGCCAAUAAAUGGGUCCAUUCCUAGCAGAGCAUAGAUAAACCAACAGAAGCAGGACACAACAAGUCAACAACGGCAAAUGACAGGAAAAAUGGCAUAUACUACACGCUCUUUGUGCUGAUUACUAGUCUAAUAAUAGAGAAAGGAGAUACAUAACAAUGGAGAAGAUGGGAAGCAACAAAAAUAUUGCAGCGGAGUUAAACUGCCACUAAUUAUUAUUUUUUAAGUACUAAUUUCAUAUUGUAGUGGUUGAAAACUCUCACAUAAUUUUCUAAGAUAACGAACUAGUAUUUUAUUGUGGGAUUUAUAGAACACCACAAUAUUUUUUUUUUG